AACGCCUCCACCUACCGGCCGAAACAGCCGCUCGCCGCCCUCCGGCUUCACCCCGGGCAGCCGCGCGCUUCCGGGGCAGGCACCUGGAUCUGGGCCAGGGCUGGCCUACAAGGAGGCGCAGGCCCACUGCUGAAGCAGCCACGACCAGCUCAGCGCCAGGGCAGGCUCUUCUACAGCGCGGGACACUGUAGGCAAGAGGCUGCCGGUGUUCGUGACCGCGAGCUCUCGGCCGGGCCCAGCUACUGCAGUAUCGGCGCUGGAAAGGCGAUCAAAGCACGGAACCCCUCCCGAGGGGGCCGUCAGGGAGGCCAGGGGCUGCCUGGGGAGCAACCUGGUCCCCACAGCACACAAACCCUAGGUUCUCCUGGCUGAAAGCAUCGGAGGUGCCACUGCGGAUGGUGAGGAACAGAAAGUUACUAGGGGCGAGGGGACAAGUGAGAAGGCAGUGAACCCAGAACUAGAUUUGCAUUCCGAUCUUGGGUUUAUUCAACACAAUUCUUCCACUCUACACAACAAAGUACAAACACAAUGUCAUCUAAAAUGCUACAAAGGUAUAAAACUCAAAA